rnacentral:rRNA from 1 species
GACGAAGGGGCCAAGCGUUGUUCGGAAUUAUUGGGCUUAAAGCGCACGCAGGCGGAAUAUUAAGUGUCUUGUGAAAUCCCUCGGCUUAACCGAGGAACUGCGGGGCAAACUGGUAUUCUUGAGACAGGUAGGGGUGCAUGGAACUCUAGGUGGAGCGGUGAAAUGCGUAGAUAUCUAGAGGAACGCCAGUGGUGAAAACGGUGCACUGGGCCUGUUCUGACGCUGAGGUGCGAAAGCGUGGGUAGCGAACGGGAUUAGAUACCCCAGUA